AAAGUCGUAACAAGGUUUCCGUAGGUGAACCUGCGGAAGGAUCAUUAGUGAAUUUUAGGGUGCUUUGCUUUACCGCGAAGGCCUGACCUCCACUCUCUAACCCAUUGUGCAUCAAAAAUACAACCGAACUUUGUGAUAGACUGAAAGAGCUUAACCGCUUGAUUACGUUUUUUCACAGUGAGGUUUCACCUUUAAAACACCAAGUCAAAGAAUGUAAUACAAACCAAAACAAAAUAAAACUUUCAACAACGGAUCUCUUGGCUCUC
rnacentral:misc_RNA from 1 species